UACAGAGGGUGCGAGCGUUAAUCGGAAUUACUGGGCGUAAAGCGCACGUAGAUGGCUUUGUAAGUCAGAUGUGAAAUCCCCGGGCUCAACCUGGGAACUGCAUUUGAAACUGCAUUGCUCGAAUGUGGAAGAGGGAAGCGGAAUUCCAGGUGUAGCGGUGAAAUGCGUAGAUAUCAAGAGGAACACCUGCGGCGAAGGCGGGUUGCUGGGCCGACACUGACGCUGAAGUGCGAAAGCUAGGGGAGCGAACGGG
rnacentral:rRNA from 1 species